rfam:Erinaceus europaeus unplaced genomic scaffold scaffold01198, whole genome shotgun sequence
GGAUAUGAGGGUGAUCUGGCUGUGCCAUCUGUCACUCCAUCUAUUUUCAGGGUUGAUUUAGCUGAUCUGCUUGGCUAGGUGGGUAUCCCCUUCCUCCCUCUCUGCUCCGUAUGUGCUGGUUCCGUAGUGCUGGUUUUGAAGAGGACAGUCAUCUCCAAACAGAGGCAGAUUGGUCUUCAGUUUAGGGUAUAUGACCCGUGAUCCCCUGCUCAAAGCUCCAAACAAGUUCUCUGUGUAAGAAGUAGAAUAUUGACUUUCUAAUGUCAUUUUUUUUAAUACUUAUUUUUUUAAA